UCGGGAGUUCCGUGCUUCCUUACUUCCCAUAGUGAUUGUAACGUAUGGAAUGUAAAGAAGUAUGGAGCAAGCGG
rnacentral:pre_miRNA from 1 species